UACGGAGGGUGGGAGCGUUGUCCGGAAUCAUUGGGCGUAAAGGGCGCGUAGGUGGCGGGACAAGCGUGCGGUGAAAGCCUGGGGCUCAACCCCGGGUCGGCCGUGCGAACUGUUUUGCUUGAGCACUGUAGAGGCAGGCGGAAUUCCGGGUGUAGCGGUGGAAUGCGUAGAGAUCCGGAAGAACACCGGUGGCGAAGGCAAUCCCCUGGACCUGUACUGACGCUCAUGCACGAAAGCGUGGGGAGCAAACAGG
rnacentral:rRNA from 1 species